UAGGGAAUCUUCCGCAAUAGGCGAAAGCUUGACGGAGCAACGCCGCGUGAGUGAUGAAGGUCUUCGGAUCGUAAAACUCUGUUAUUAGGGAAGAACAAAUGUGUAAGUAACUAUGCACGUCUUGACGGUACCUAAUCAGAAAGCCACGGCUAACUACGUGCCAGCAGCCGCGGUAAUACGUAGGUGGCAAGCGUUAUCCGGAAUUAUUGGGCGUAAAGCGCGCGUAGGCGGUUUUUUAAGUCUGAUGUGAAAGCCCACGGCUCAACCGUGGAGGGUCAUUGGAAACUGGAAAACUUGAGUGCAGAAGAGGAAAGUGGAAUUCCAUGUGUAGCGGUGAAAUGCGCAGAGAUAUGGAGGAACACCAGUGGCGAAGGCGACUUUCUGGUCUGUAACUGACGCUGAUGUGCGAAAGCGUGGGGAUCAAACAGG
rnacentral:rRNA from 1 species